rnacentral:lncRNA from 1 species
AUUUUUUGUGUGAUUUUUAUGGUGUUGUAGUUAUGUGCUGUAAGAAUAACCACCUGGAGAUUCUGUCUGCUAAAUCCACACCAGAUCUCUCUGGUGGACUGUUAUCUCUGAUAAUGUCCCCUUUCAAAUCCACCAAUCAUUGUGGAUGUUGUAGUACUUUUCUUAAAAGUUCUUCCUCUCCUUUCCCACUACUCUACACCAAGAUGAGAGCUGGUCAUUCACCACAUGGAUUUCCUUCUUCUAAAGGAUUUUCAUAUUUGAGACUUGUUAAAUAGUUCAAACUGCUACAUCAUUACUCUUUCUUUUCCAUUUGGGCAUUUUAAGACACUUACUUAGCUGGUUUAAAAAUAAUAAAGUUGUGACCUUUAGUUGACAUUCCAAGCUCCUGUUUUGAAGGCUGUGGUUAUAUUUUGAGGUCGCUGCCUAGGAAAAUCAAGACUAACUGAACUGACUAAUUCUGAGUGCUUACCUCCUUUCAAUGCAUUUUUGGGGUGGGGAGUUUGAGUGUAAAGGAGCAUGUUUUAGAACCAGUCUCUGCCCAGGCUGCUGAAGGCAGAAGGUGCCUGAGAGUGAAACAAAAAUGUUUUGAAGAGCAGGAUUGGACUCCCUGUCUCUUCUGCACUAACCACCAACAGCUGGAGAACAGGCUGCAAGAGGCAAGGGGAUCACGUCUCAUGGACACAAGACAAGGAGCAUCCCACAGCCACCUUAAUAUCAUCCACUCUGGCAUCUGCUGAAACAUCUGGUGGUGGCUGGUGCUGGAGACGUUACAGUGGAUGUGUUGGGAAACCCAUCUGGCUCAGGAUGAGAGUUUUUCUGCUCCUCUGUGCUCCACAGCAUUGGGAGAUCUGGAAGUCCUUCACGCUCUGACCUUUUGGAAGUUGGAAUGCUUGGUGCAGGGCUGGCAACGAAAAAAACAGCAUUUCCUGCUUAAAACUUUGCAAAGCUUGCUGGUGAGGCAGUGUGUCAGUGGGGCAUUUCCAAGGAACACCACUCAGAGAGCACUGGAGGAAGGAUUUCAGCACUGA